rnacentral:sRNA from 1 species
AUGGACCGCGCGUACACGCCGGUUCUGAGCGCGCCGUCCACAUCUGCCUGACGACGGCUCGCUACGGUCUGUUAGCU